UGUAACGAUUAGCACUCUGGGUUUUGUAUCCAGCGAUACGAGCUCGAAUCUCGGUGGAACCGCUAAUUGUCGGGAAGGCGAAACCACUAAACUACAGCAGAGACCAGCCUGUACAGAUUCAUUCAUGGACUGCAAGUGCUUCCAAGGGCAGAGCACAAGAAGCGGGGACCACUAACAAGCAAAGAUUUCAUUUCUUGCAAUGCAGAUUGUCCAAUUG